AAGAAGGUGACAGAGUGGAAAUGUGUCUGGCUUGAAACCAGAAGAUGGGGGUUCGAUUCCCUCCCUUCUCG
rnacentral:tRNA from 1 species